CGAGUAAGUCAGACAAUCGCUGCUGAUUUAUUCAGGAGAGGAAAGUCCGAGCUCCAUAGGGCAGGGUGCUGGGUAACCCCCAGUGGAGGCAACUCUAAGGAAAGUGCAACAGAGAGAUACCGCCUAAGNNAACCCCACCUGGAGCAAGACCGAAUAGGAAGGUAAAUGGGAUUGCCCGUCCCGCCUUCGGGUGUGUCGCUUGAGCCCAUUGGUAACAAUGGGCCUAGAUAGAUGAUUGUCAAAUACAGAACUCGGCUUAUAGACUUACUCGUACC
rnacentral:RNase_P_RNA from 1 species